ACGCCAAAACAUAAACAAGAAAAAGAAGCUUGCAUUGAUCUUAUGGAGCGGAAAACUAUUCUUCUUUCCCUUUUUGUGCUUUUGCAGCUAGGAAAUUCUACUCAUGCUGAAAUGUGUGAAGUGCACGUUCCUUACUCCAGCAUUAUGUGCAUAGAAUUAGGUUGCCAGAAUGCCUGCCGAGAUUCCUGGGGAGAUCACACCAAGAAAGCUUAUUGUGUACCUGUCAACGCUUCCCUUUGGAGUUGUCAUUGCAUAGUAUGCAAUGACUAGAAUUUUUCUACUCCAUCAUGUUGAACAAUGUACAAUGAUGUGAUGCAGUAAUAAAAUAUUCGUGCAAGAUGCAUUUGAGAAUCUA